rnacentral:rRNA from 1 species
AACGAACGCUGGCGGCAGCCCUAACACAUGCAAGUCGAGCGCGCCUUCGGGUGAGCGGCGGACGGGUUAGUAACGCGUGGGAACGUGCCCUUCUCUACGGAAUAGCCUCUGGAAACGGAGAGUAAUACCGUAUACGCCCUUUGGGGGAAAGAUUUAUCGGAGAAGGAUCGGCCCGCGUUAGAUUAGGUAGUUGGUGGGGUAACGGCCUACCAAGCCUACGAUCUAUAGCUGGUUUUAGAGGAUGAUCAGCAACACUGGGACUGAGACACGGCCCAGACUCCUACGGGAGGCAGCAGUGGGGAAUCUUAGACAAUGGGGGCAACCCUGAUCUAGCCAUGCCGCGUGAGUGAUGAAGGCCUUAGGGUCGUAAAGCUCUUUCGCCUGUGAUGAUAAUGACAGUAGCAGGUAAAGAAACCCCGGCUAACUCCGUG